GGCACCCGACCGUUCCUGAGCCCGUGUCCCAGGCCGGGGGUGGGAGCCGGAGGACAGACCCCGCCAGAGUGGCCAGCGCGUCCCUCCCGGUGCGGCCCCAGAGGGCAGCGAGCUCAGUGGCCGGAGGCAGGAGAGAGACAGACCCGAGGAGGAGACUUAGGGACCUGGCCUGGCCCGGAUACCGGAGGCCUUGCAACCACAUGGGGAAGAGUCGGGGUUCCUUCUUUGCCCUGUGUACCCGGAGCCGCAGGACGAGCGCUGCUGGCUCCGAUCCUGGCCCAGGGGUCACCGGGUCAGAGGCGGAGCCUGGGCGGUGUGCCGGGUGCCCAGGCUGGGAGACACCGCCGUCCUGUUGGGGACCCGGUCCCAGGUGAGCGGUGCGCUAGGGGCUGCCACCCGAGGAUUCUCCAGAACUUGGCGCGGCCGAAUGUGCUGAGAGCAGUUAAGCCAUUGAAGGUCACAUUUACUGAAGAGAUCUGAGGAAAGUUGCAAAAGAAGAUCUCUGUCGCUGAACUAUAAUUCUGUAAAUUUGUGGUUAGCUAGGAUAUCCUGUCAGACUGUUUAGUUCUAGUUUCCUUUUCUUAUUUUAAAAGGUCUCUUCCUAAGAAAUGGGUCAUGAGCGCUCAGGCGAUUGGCCCCUAACAAAGCUUUAACUUCUGGGACGCCCAAGUCCCUUGCUACAGUUUUGGGCGUAAAUCGCCCCACCUCGGGACAGAUGAGACAGCCCCCUGCUGGGCGCCACACUGUGGGCAUGAGGCCAGGAGGCCCACCCACCGCAGGCGUCUCCUCCCUGCGCCUCCGCCGUGGAAGCCGGUGACACCCACCUCGUGUCACACAGACAGUGAAACCCACCAUCGUCACCUUGCUCUGGCCUAGCUGUUUUCUCCCAAAGGACCUUUGGUUGGGAGGUGUCCUGGGAUUGUGACAUCAAAGAUCCUCUUCCUUCUGACCCCAGUGUACUUCCACUCUCCUUGUGUAACACCCCAAUAAUCAAUACAAUAAAAAUAGGAAGAUUUUAUUAAUACUCUAAAAAUACUAAUCAGGUACCUCCUGGUGUCUUCCUGGGCCAAAUAAACACAUUCACACACUGCUGGUGGGAAAUUAGAGGACAAUUUCUUUGGCUUUGUGUUGGACAAAAGGAAAGGAUGAGACCAGUAAAAAUACUAGUGGGGGCGGGGGCACCUGGGGCUCAGAGGGUAGAGAGGGCCUCAGGGUCCUGGGUUCAUGCCCCCCAUGGGGUAUAGGGCUUACUCAAAACAAAACAAAACAAAACAGGUAUUUUAAUAUAAAAAAUAAUAACUUUAAAAACUCUUGUGUAUCAAAAAUACUUUCAAUGUUCAUGACAAAAGGUAAUAUCUUCAAUAUAAAGAAUGUUCUUACAAUUAUUAAGGUAAAGGAUGCCCAUCCUAGGGAGAAAAUGUGCAAAGGAUACAGAGGCAAUUUAUAAUAUAAAAUUUUAAUAUAUAUAUAAAUAUAUAUUAGAAAAAUGUAUUAUAUAUUUAUAUAUAAAUAUAUAUUAGAAAAUAUAUAUUAUAUAUUA
rnacentral:lncRNA from 1 species